AGAAAAUAACUUGAUUUUAUAUUAGUUACAACUAAAUUACAUUCUUAAUUAUAUUGGGGUCAUUUCAGCACAGGUGAACCAAUGGGGGUUAAAAUGUUAAUGUUCAGUCAAUAAUGUUGGAAAGCCCUGAAACAAACUUUAAAAUGAUAAGGUUUUGUCCAGGUCAACCCCUACAUGGGGAAAAAAGGUCAUGAAAAUGGCCGUUCUCAUCACACGGGGCUUGAGUUACACUAUUCUUAUUUUGCAUGCAGCUGACAACUUUUUCGAUCAUAUGUAGUUGAUGUGCAGUAUCAUAAUCAACCACAAAUGGUGAAAAUUGUUUAUAAAUAUAAAUCGAUUAUUGUUUAGCCUAGGCAAAAAGAAAGCAAUAACACACAAGGGGGCGUUCCAAAUAUGGUUCAAUGCCCACAUGCCUGGGUGUUGUUGAGUGCAAGGAUUCUGGACCACAUUUAAACACCAAGGAGAGUGUUAAUGCUCUUAAAAAAUGGCACAGCCCAUCCUAUUGCACCCCUCCUAAUGUGAACUGGUUGAUAAUUGAAUCAGGAAGAGCGGUUCCAAAAGCUCCAAGUUAUGCUCCUUCUUCCUGCCAGUUAUAAUCGUUUUAAAUGUAUAGCUGUUUUAAAUUAUCAAGUAACAAUUAUAUUUCAUGUGUCAGUCAACUUGAAGUCACAAUAGGAACAACAACCUGUUCUAUGAGGCAUAGACAUAAACAUAAUCUGAACAUUGUUAGUGUAUGUAUGUAUAUAUUUAUAUAUAUAUAUAUAAUCACAGAAAUGUCUGAAAUGUGAUUAUAUAACACAAUGUAGCUAUUUUUUACAAUUCAGUUUAACUCCGAAUUCAGUUUAAGCUAUGCACUCUACGUAUCCUGUGUCUUGUUAGUAUUUUAAACGUAGUUUCUGACCUUUCGUUAUCCACUGAACAACUUUCCCUCGUGUUCUUUAUAGCAAAGGGCUCUUAACUUUCGGAACAGGAAACAUUCUCCCCAGCACAGAACAGAGAAGGGCUCUUUUACUCGAUAUGCAGUCUCCCUCCUUCAGAUAUGUGGGGAAAUUAUUCAACUGAUCUCCAGAAUAGACAACUAAUUUUUUGCACUUUGACCUCCAAGGCUUGAGCAAGAGAAAAGGAAAUUGCACCUCUCCUCUCAGCGCCACUACAGCUCUCACCAGUCACUGCCGGGACAUCCCCACCCGACCUUAUCAACAACCUCGAUCAGCUGCACCUGCAUGCAAUACGACGCCGCAAAGAACAUGGUUUCAAGCCCGCUACAUAUCCACGCGUCCAGGGCACGCCCCUGGUGUGCCAGCCGGCAAUUCCAAGUAGACAUGGCUUCUCGUUCUCAAUCCCCUGAUGGUUGCAACAUUUCAUCCUUUGGUUUGUGCCAACAAUGCUGGAACUGUGUACCACAUGCGCAGCAAGCCAAGACCCUGAUUGGUGUGUUUCUCCCAUCUCUGAUGUCCCUGAAUACCUCUGCAAUUGAACUGUUCCCGGCCCAACAUCAAGAACACAGGAGUGCAGAAGGUGGAGUCCUGUACAGUGGGGGUGGCGCUGGUCUACCAGCCACUGUAGGACAGGCCGAAGGUCAGGAUCCAAUCCUUGUUGUUUCCUCUAUUCUUUGGCUCCGACCAUGGUCAUCUCCUGGCAAGUGACAGCCACAGCCCAACUAAGCGAUGGUUCCUGGCUUGGUUCCUGAUCAUGGCCCUGUCCCGUCCUGGCCAUCGACAGCUCCCUUUCCCAAGCCUCCCUCUUCAUGCAGUGGUUGCACUCCUCUCUGAGGAGGGUCGGUGGGAAAGGGCAUCCGGAUUGAUGUGGCGAGCUCCAGCCCAGUUCUGGAUCUUAAAAUGGAAGGGCUGGAGAUGCUCAAUCCAUCAGGCGACCUGCCCUUCCUAAGACAGCACAGCUCCGAGCCCCUCAUUGCUGGUGUCCGUGUCCAGGAGGAAUGGUAGGCUGAGAUCUGUGGGUUGAGCACCGGGGACUGUGUUAGCACCUCCCAGAGGGUGUGAAACGCAGCCUGACAUUCCUCUGUCCAUUCAAGGGGUUUUCCCUUGUGCAGCAGAUGGUGCAGUGAUGAUGGUAGUCCCAGACAAAGCAGCAAUAGUAGGAGGCCAGGCCCAGGAA